rnacentral:rRNA from 1 species
CUGACAUAAGUAACGAUAAAGCGGGUGAAAAGCCCGCUCGCCGGAAGACCAAGGGUUCCUGUCCAACGUUAAUCGGGGCAGGGUGAGUCGACCCCUAAGGCGAGGCCGAAAGGCGUAGUCGAUGGGAAACAGGUUAAUAUUCCUGUACUUGGUGUUACUGCGAAGGGGGGACGGAGAAGGCUAUGUUGGCCGGGCGACGGUUGUCCCGGUUUAAGCGUGUAGGCUGGUUUUCCAGGCAAAUCCGGAAAAUUAAGGCCGAGGCGUGAUGACGAGGCACUACGGUGCUGAAGCAACAAAUGCCCUGCUUCCAGGAAAAGCCUCUAAGCAUCAGGUAACAUCAAAUCGUACCCCAAACCGACACAGGUGGUCAGGUAGAGAAUACCAAGGCGCUUGAGAGAACUCGGGUGAAGGAACUAGGCAAAAUGGUGCCGUAACUUCGGGAGAAGGCACGCUGAUACGUAGGUGAAGCGACUUGCUCGUGGAGCUGAAAUCAGUCGAAGAUACCAGCUGGCUGCAACUGUUUAUUAAAAACACAGCACUGUGCAAACACGAAAGUGGACGUAUACGGUGUGACGCCUGCCCGGUGCCGGAAGGUUAAUUGAUGGGGUUAGCGCAAGCGAAGCUCUUGAUCGAAGCCCCGGUAAACGGCGGCCGUAACUAUAACGGUCCUAAGGUAGCGAAAUUCCUUGUCGGGUAAGUUCCGACCUGCACGAAUGGCGUAAUGAUGGCCAGGCUGUCUCCACCCGAGACUCAGUGAAAUUGAACUCGCUGUGAAGAUGCAGUGUACCCGCGGCAAGACGGAAAGACCCCGUGAACCUUUACUAUAGCUUGACACUGAACAUUGAGCCUUGAUGUGUAGGAUAGGUGGGAGGCUUUGAAGUGUGGACGCCAGUCUGCAUGGAGCCGACCUUGAAAUACCACCCUUUAAUGUUUGAUGUUCUAACGUGGACCCGUGAUCCGGGUUGCGGACAGUGUCUGGUGGGUAGUUUGACUGGGGCGGUCUCCUCCUAAAGAGUAACGGAGGAGCACGAAGGUUGGCUAAUCCUGGUCGGACAUCAGGAGGUUAGUGCAAUGGCAUAAGCCAGCUUGACUGCGAGCGUGACGGCGCGAGCAGGUGCGAAAGCAGGUCAUAGUGAUCCGGUGGUUCUGAAUGGAAGGGCCAUCGCUCAACGGAUAAAAGGUACUCCGGGGAUAACAGGCUGAUACCGCCCAAGAGUUCAUAUCGACGGCGGUGUUUGGCACCUCGAUGUCGGCUCAUCACAUCCUGGGGCUGAAGUAGGUCCCAAGGGUAUGGCUGUUCGCCAUUUAAAGUGGUACGCGAGCUGGGUUUAGAACGUCGUGAGACAGUUCGGUCCCUAUCUGCCGUGGGCGCUGGAGAACUGAGGGGGGCUGCUCCUAGUACGAGAGGACCGGAGUGGACGCAUCACUGGUGUUCGGGUUGUCAUGCCAAUGGCACUGCCCGGUAGCUAAAUGCGGAAGAGAUAAGUGCUGAAAGCAUCUAAGCACGAAACUUGCCCCGAGAUGAGUUCUCCCUGACCCUUUAAGGGUCCUGAAGGAACGUUGAAGACGACGACGUUGAUAGGCCGGGUGUGUAAGCGCAGCGAUGCGUUGAGCUAACCGGUACUAAUGAACCGUGAGGCUUAACCUUACAACGCCGAAG